rnacentral:lncRNA from 1 species
CCGGAGCUUCAAAGGUGCCAAAGGAGGUAAAUGUGUGAAGCAGCCCAAACACAAACCUAUCAAAUGCUUCUGCGACUACUGCAAAGACGACUAGACUUCACAAAAAACGCCUUAAAUAGAACCACUGGUUCUAGCUUCACUCUCCAAACGCAACCACCCCUUCUCGACCUAAAUGUUUGUAAUUUCCAUAUAAAUUUUAUAAAAUGUAUCUUUGAUGUUUGUUUGUCCCAGCAUUUUCAUGUAUUCUCGGCAUCAUAAAUCAUAACAAUAUUUCCCCAGUUGCUAAAAAUAAAGGAACGUCUGUAAACAAUGUUGUCAUAAUUUUCAUGUCUUAUCAAAGAACAUGAUGAAAAGAUAAGUGACAAUCAGUAGUACGAAGGAUCAUUAUGACAAGCUAGUGUCGGAGGAGCUUAAACACAAGGCCCACAAUGUAGAAAAUACAGGAUACUUUUCAUUUUUAUAUUAAAGUAAACAACACACAUCUAAUAAAAAUAAAUAAUGGAUGGAUUUUUCAUAUGAAAUCAAACUAUUAAAAAAAUUAUUAACAAAUUUAUUAGUUUAUUUAAAUCCAAACUAAUACAUAAUUUUAUUUUAUAAAAUUUAUAUUCUAAUUAUCCAACAUAAACACAAACCUACGUAUAACUUUGUUAAUUAUGAACUUUAGAUCCUAAUUUUUUUUUAAUUUAAAACUAUAUAUAUAUAUAUAUAUAUAUAUAUCUUCGUUUCAUUAUACUUUACUCUUUAUUUAUAAAUUUAAACUGACAUAUAAUCUCCUUAAACUGUUAUAAUGGAGUUUCAUAAGAUCAGAAACGAAGUUAUAAAGAUUGAGUCUUUUAAUUUUAGGAAAAAUAAAUAAUGGAGCUUUCAGAAGACCGUAUGAAAACGUCUUCCUAGACAUAUCUAGAACGCACCAUUAUUAUUAUUAUUUUCCUUUUUGGUUUAAUAUACAUAUAAAUAUAUACAAAAAAUUUCUUAUAAAAUAAUGAAUCCCAACAAAUCAUUAUAAAACAGUAAUGGCCGUACAACCCUUAUCCAGAUUGUAGCAAUACAGGAUGCUUUUAAAUAACACGUACGUGUAUUGUUGAUAUAUGAUGCCAUGUCACGUGUGUGUGUGUGUGUGUGCGCGCCUUUACAAUUCCAAGAUGUGGUCCUGUGGACCGAGCACAAUAAAAAAGGUCAAUUUUACUCUUGCAACGUCCUUGAACGAUGCACAAUAGCUAAACACACGGUUAAAGUAGUACAAUUUAUGAAAACAUAAUCUGUCGAUUAAUAAAAAGAGUAAGAGAAUGCAAAUCUAAGUGGAACUUAAAAAAUAAAAAUUAAGAGAGAAUAAUGUCCAAUUAGAAGUUCGUUUUUGAAUUCCAAGCAAUGCAACGAUGAAGUUUCAGUCACCCAGCAUUACCAUCUUCCAUGGAAGAUAGUUGAAACCGUUUCUCCCCUCCGAGAUAUCUGAACAAAAUUAUGAAGACACAAGAUCAGAAUUCUAGAAAAUAAGCCUUACAUUACAUGAGUAAAGCAGAAGAAUCUUGAGGAGAGAAAUCUGAAAGUUUUUGUGAACUCAUGAGGGUGACGCAACGAUGAAGAACAUAUCUCUAAACAGAUUUAUAUAAGGAUCAUGAAUUUUUUUUGAAGAUGUAUCGUUUCCCAAAAGGACUUGUAGGAGGACACGAUGUCACACUGUUCUUUUUUCUUUCCGUCGACUCUUCAGUUUUGAUUUAGUUAUUUUGCUUAAUUCAGUAAUUUAUUUAAU